rnacentral:lncRNA from 1 species
UGUUAAGAAUUCUUUUGCAGUUUUGCAAUCAGGAAUUGAGCCCCUUAUCUUUUUGAAGAUAUGAUUUUGUAUGAGUAAAAGACUUAAGCGGUUUGACCGCUCCCACCUCUCAUACAACUUUUUCUCCUCUAGCGUAGUUUCCUCUGUAGGGACAGGUGGUAUGUCCUCACAAAGUGCCAGAUCAACAUCCAUGCACCCUAAAGUAAAUGUCAGUCUUUCUUUCCAUUUCGAGAAAUUUGAACCAUUAAGUAUUGGGAUGCAUGAUGUGGAUUGUGAAAAAACUGUCGGAAACAAAGCUGCAAAACAUAUGCUUACUAUCAA